AAUGAUAUGCCUGAAUUAAAGGAUUAUUUUGAUAGAAUAAAUCAUGUAAUAAAUUAUUACUAUCAUUA
rnacentral:tRNA from 1 species